rnacentral:rRNA from 1 species
UACGAAGGGUGCAAGCGUUACUCGGAAUUACUGGGCGUAAAGGGUGCGUAGGUGGUCGUUUAAGUCCGUUGUGAAAUCCCUGGGCUCAACCUGGGAAUGGCAGUGGAUACUGGACGGCUAGAAGUGCGGGUAGAGGGUAGUGGAAUUCCCGGUGUAGCAGUGAAAUGGACGUAGAGAUCGGGGAGGAACACCAGUGGCGAAGGCGGCUACCUGGACCAGCAUUGACACGUCAAGCACGAAAGCGUGGGGACGCAAACAGG